rnacentral:lncRNA from 1 species
CCAGGAGAAAAUGACUCUCAAAGAGGAGCUCCCUCAUCCUUCUGCAGAAAAAGAGGUAAGGAAACACAAGAAGUCCUUAGCGCAGAGUCCCAAUUCCUCCCUCAUAGAUGUGAAACGCCAGGAUGCUGGAAAGCCACUACGGCCUCUGGCCAUGCACCAGUUGUAGUUUUGUGUGUUGGCUGCUCCACUGUUGUCUGCCAGCCCACAGGAGGGAAAGUGAGGCUCCUGGAAGGACGCUCCUUCAGAUGGAAGCAGCAC